UUUUAUCUAUUUAAAAAAUUAAAAGAAAAUGAAAAAAAAUUGAGAAAAUAGAAAUAAGACAGCGGGUCUUUCACACAUUCACCAACUUUUAAUAUUUUGCAAUAUUUAUUUUAUUAUUCCUUUUCUUUGUAAGUAUACAAUUUUUUUGUGUGUGACUCAUCUGACAGUUGCGAAUGUAGUGGAGCAAAGGCUUAUUUAAUGAAGGAGAAAGGAUAUAGUGCAAGUGGAAAAUAGAGGUGUUGUCUGAUAGGACAAUAGGACAAAGGCUAAAAAUAGCAAGGAGGUCAGUAUAAAGACAGAUAAAUAUCAGAAGGACUAAAUUAAGUGGUAAAGUCAGAAUUCAGAAGGAUAUGAAUAUAAAAAAAAAAGAAAGAGUUGAAGAGUGACAAACGAGGCUCUCUGGGAGUCUAUGUAUGAGCCAUUAGAUUCCAAGAGAGCCUUUUUGACUUUAAUGAUCAGAAACAGUAGCAAGUAC